UCGGGUUCACAGGUCCCUUGGACCAAAGCCCAGAGAGGGAGCGCCUCCUCGCCCACUCCUCAUUAGAGUCCACUACUUCCAUGUCAAGGAACAGCUGCUACGUCUUGCAGGGGCAAACUCUCCUCUACUUUACCAGGGCAGAAGGAUCUCCAUCUUUCCAGACUUCACACCUGCAGUGGCUAAAAAACGUUCAGUUUACUGGGGUCAAGCGCCUUCUGCACUCUUGUCCUGGGAUCAAGUUCGGCCUGUUCUAUCCUGCGGAACUGAGGGUGACACUUCCAGAUGGAGUUGUACGUAAGUUUACUGAUCCUGCGUCUGCCACGGACUUUGCCAAUAAGAUCCUGGGGGGCCCUGCCUCUCAGGGCACAUAAGUGUCUUAGCCCAUUGGGCUGAUAUGUCCAUCUUGGUUAAUUUCUGUGAAAUAUUCUAUUCUAUUUUUUUUUCUCUUUCUUCACUGUUUUUUAUUUUUUAUUGUAUCUUAUUGUAUUUUUUUUUUAAGUAACAUACUUAUGUUUAUUUGAGGUGAGCUUGAUUUAUAGGAUGUGUCUUGUUCUAAUAAAUUUUCAUACAAUCCUUGAUUUGUCUCUGCCUUGUAUUGCAAGGAGCUUGAACUCAACUGGGACUUCGAAUGGUUGGGAGAAAGUGCUCAGGGUGUGUUUGGUGGGGGGUGCGCGCAUCUUGUUAGGGAAGAUGCUUCAGCAUUUAGGGGGAAGUUUGGGUGUUCUUUGUUUUUUAUGUUGUACUGUUCUGUUCACUGACUUUGUUUUUUCUGUGUUUUUCAUUGGUCAGCUUUGGUUUUUUUCAACCUAUGUUCUAACAUGGUAUCGCAAUUAAAUACUAAUAAUCAACAAGCAGGUCACUCGUUUAAGUUCUGUAGCUGGAAUUGUAAAGGUCUGAAUCAACCUAUUACAGCUUUCAAGGUCCUCCAUUAUUUGCAAUUUUUGGGCGCCCAGGUUGUGUUUUUACAAGAAACACACCUAAAAAUUUCAGAUCAUUUUAGACUUCAUAAGGGGUGGGUGGGCCAACUCUAUCACUCUACAUUUAAAUCCAAAGUUCGUGGUGCUGCUAUUUUAAUACACAAAUCAGUGCCAUUUGUUUCUUCUAAUGUUAUAGCGGACCAGAAUGGUAGAUU
ensembl:lncRNA